UUAAGUUCAGCGGGUAGUCCUACCUGAUUUGAGAUCAAACAUUUAGAAGCUGUCCUCCCUGGGGAGAGACGUCUGUGAGCUCCAGCGAACCUCCAUCGCUGAAGGUUACCUGGUGAACGGUCACAAGCGUAGAUAGUUAUCACACCUGUGAUGCCACCAAACACUGGCAAGCUGAUUCAUUUGAGAGGAGCCGACAGUCA
rnacentral:misc_RNA from 1 species